UACGUAGGGGGCCAGCGUUGCUCGGAAUUACUGGGCGUAAAGGGUUCGUAGGUGGUGCGGCAAGUUGGGAGUGAAAUCUCUGGGCUUAACUCAGAGGCUGCUUUCAAAACUGCCGCGCUCGAGUGCGAGAGAGGUCAGUGGAAUUGCAGGUGUAGCGGUGAAAUGCGUAGAUAUCUGCAGGAACACCCGUGGCGAAGGCGGCUGACUGGAUCGCAACUGACACUGAGGAACGAAAGCUAGGGGAGCAAACGGG
rnacentral:rRNA from 1 species